CUGUUUUCUCUGUGAAGGACUGAGUGUUUUCUCUCUGUGUGUUUGUGCAGGUUUUGGGGACGCCAUCGGAGGAGACAUGGCCAGGUGUUCACUCUCUCCCGCACUUCAAACCAGAUCGAUUCACUGUCUACAGUCCCAAGAAACUCAGACAAGCCUGGAAUAAGCUGGGUUAUGUAGAUCAUGCUGAAGAACUGGCUUCCAGAUUUCUCCAGUGCUUCCCAAAGAACCGUCUCUCGGCUCAGGCGGCGCUUCAUCACGAGUACUUCAGCCAUCUGCCCCCGAGACUCUGGGAGCUGCCUGACAUGUCUUCAAUCUUCACCGUUCCCAGCGUUAAGUUACAGCCGGAGUCUGGCGACAGCAUCCAGGUGUGCAGUAAGAGUCACGGCAAAGCGGCGUCGAACAGCAAACACUGACCCGGAGCCAAACAGGUACAGUCUGUGGCACCAGUGUGUGCUUUACAGUCAACAGCUCUACAGAUGCGUGCUACAUAGUCAUCAUCUGACCUUUUCUAAUAGCAGGUUUAAUUCUUUAUUUUGCUUUUUAAUCAAUUUAAUCCAGUGUUUUGUGUAG